AUUGAACGCUGGCGGCAUGCCUUACACAUGCAAGUCGAACGGUAACGAGCCUUCGGGUGCCGACGAGUGGCGAACGGGUGAGUAAUACAUCGGAACGUGCCCGAUCGUGGGGGAUAACGAGGCGAAAGCUUUGCUAAUACCGCAUACGAUCUACGGAUGAAAGCAGGGGACCGCAAGGCCUUGCGCGGACGGAGCGGCCGAUGGCAGAUUAGGUAGUUGGUGGGAUAAAAGCUUACCAAGCCGAUGAUCUGUAGCUGGUCUGAGAGGAUGAUCAGCCACACUGGGACUGAGACACGGCCCAGACUCCUACGGGAGGCAGCAGUGGGGAAUUUUGGACAAUGGGCGCUAGCCUGAUCCAGCCAUGCCGCGUGCAGGAUGAAGGCCUUCGGGUUGUAAACUGCUUUUGUACGGAACGAAAAGCCUUCUUUUAAUACAGGAGGGUCAUGACGGUACCGUAAGAAUAAGCACCGGCUAACUACGUG
rnacentral:rRNA from 1 species